UCCUCGGCUUCGCGGACGUUCCCACACUAACCCCGUCAGAUCCGGAAGGAAGCAGCGGUCCGUGCAGGGGCGUGCCGUGGAUUACCGGGGGGUU
rnacentral:SRP_RNA from 1 species